rnacentral:tRNA from 1 species
UCCCUAGUGGUCCAGUGGCGAAGACUCUGUGCUCCCAAUACAGGGGUGCUAGGUUCGAUCCCUGGUCAGGGAA